rnacentral:rRNA from 1 species
CGAACGCUGGCGGCGUGCCUAAUACAUGCAAGUCGAGCGGCCUGAUUUAGAGCUUGCUCUUAUGACGUUAGCGGCGGACGGGUGAGUAACACGUGGGCAACCUGCCCUGUAGAUCGGGAUAACACCGAGAAAUCGGUGCUAAUACCGGGUAAUAUCUGAGAUCACAUGAUCUUAGGUUAAAAGAUGGCUCCGGCUAUCACUACAGGAUGGGCCCGCGGCGCAUUAGCUAGUUGGUAAGGUAAUGGCUUACCAAGGCGACGAUGCGUAGCCGACCUGGGAGGGUGAUCGGCCAAACUGGGACUGGGACACGGCCCAGACUCCUACGGGGGGCAGCAGUAGGGAAUCUUCCGCAAUUGACGGAAGUCUGGAGGAGCAACGCCGCGUGAGUGAUGAAGGGUUUCGGCUCGUAAAGCUCUGUUGUUAGGGAAGAAACAGUACCGAACGAACUAGGUCGGUACCUUGACGGUACCUAACCAGAAAGCCACGGCUAACUACGUG